rnacentral:rRNA from 1 species
UGCAUAUCAAUAAGCGGAGGAAAAGAAACCAACAGGGAUUGCCUUAGUUACGGCGAGUGAAGCGGCAACAGCUCAAAUUUGAAAUCUGGCUCUUUCAGAGUCCGAGUUGUAAUUUGCAGAGGGCGCUUUGGCUUUGGCAGCGGUCCAAGUUCCUUGGAACAGGACGUCACAGAGGGUGAGAAUCCCGUACGUGGUCGCUAGCUAUUGCCGUGUAAAGCCCCUUCGACGAGUCGAGUUGUUUGGGAAUGCAGCUCUAAAUGGGAGGUAAAUUUCUUCUAAAGCUAAAUAUUGGCCAGAGACCGAUAGCGCACAAGUAGAGUGAUCGAAAGAUGAAAAGCACUUUGGAAAGAGAGUCAAACAGCACGUGAAAUUGUUGAAAGGGAAGCGCUUGCAGCCAGACUUGCUUGCAGUUGCUCAUCCGGGCUUUUGCCCGGUGCACUCUUCUGCAGGCAGGCCAGCAUCAGUUUGGGCGGUGGGAUAAAGGUCUCUGACACGUUCCUUCCUUCGGGUUGGCCAUAUAGGGGAGACGUCAUACCACCAGCCUGGACUGAGGUCCGCGCAUCUGCUAGGAUGCUGGCGUAAUGGCUGUAAGCGGCCCGUCUUGAA